GGAACACAUCGUGAUGCAGCUGAAGUGCAAACUACAAGAAUCAAUGGAUCUCUCACUCAAGACCCCCAACAGCUCGUUCCUCCCAGAUGAUGUCACUGUGGAGUAUAACAAGAUGAAGAUGUGCUAUGAGAAACUGAUGGAUUGCAAGCCUACAUAUCGGCUCCAAUGCCCCAAGGCAGGUAUUUGGACAUGCAGUUCUACUGGACUGGUGUUUCUGAUGGAAGGGAAGGGAGAUGUGG